GCCACGGCUAACUACGUGCCAGCAGCCGCGGUAAUACGUAGGUGGCAAGCGUUGUCCGGAUUUAUUGGGCGUAAAGGGAGCGCAGGCGGUGACUUAAGUCUGAUGUGAAAGCCCACGGCUCAACCGUGGAGGGUCAUUGGAAACUGGGUCACUUGAGUGUAGAAGAGGAAAGUGGAAUUCCAUGUGUAGCGGUGAAAUGCGUAGAUAUAUGGAGGAACACCAGUGGCGAAGGCGACUUUCUGGUCUACAACUGACGCUGAGGCUCGAAAGCGUGGGGAGCAAACAGGAUUAGAUACCCUGGUAGUCCACGCCGUAAACGAUGAGUGUUAGAUGUCCGAGGUAAACUUGGGUGUCGGAAGCCAACGCGAUAAACACUCCGCCUGGGGAGUACGCACGCA
rnacentral:rRNA from 1 species